CAGACGAAACCCUACCAGACGAGAAGACAAACCAGAGCAAAACCAAAAAGGAAACGAAGUGAAGGAGGGCAUCAAAGCCUUGUGAAAACGCAGGGGGCAAAAACAAAGGAAAGCGAAGAGAAGAAACUGAAGGAAAAUGGGGUGGAUCGGAGAUACUGUCGAUUCCAUCAAAUCUAUCCAGAUCCGUCAGCUCCUCACUCAGGCUGUCAGUCUAGGAAUGAU
rnacentral:misc_RNA from 1 species